ensembl:lncRNA
GACCCCAAUUGUAGUGACCCCAUUGUGGUGACCCCAUAGAGAGGACCCCAUUGAGGUGACCCCAUAGAGAGGACCCCAUUGUAGUGACCCCAUUGAAGGGACCCCAAAAAGGGGACCCCAUUGAGGGGAACCCCAAUAUGGUGACCCCAUAAAGGGGACCCCGUAGAAGGGGACCCCAUUGUGGUGACCCCAUAAAGGGGAUCCCAUAGAAGGGACCCCAUAAAGGGGACCCUGUAGAAGGGAAUCCCAUUGUGGUGACCCCAUAAAGGGGACUCCAUUGAGGUGAUCCCACUGAGGUGACCCCAUUGAGGUGACCCCAUUGGGGUGACCCCAUAACGAUGUCCCCAUUGUGGUGACCCCAUAAAGACGUCCCCAUUGCGGCGACACCAUAACGAUGUCCCCAUUGCAGUGACCCCAUAACGAUGUCCCCAUAGUGGUGACCCCACUGAGGUGACCCCAUUGAGGUGACCCCAUAAAGAUGGCCCCAUAAAGACGUCCACAUUGAGGUGGCCCCACUGAGGUGACCCUAUUGGGGUGACCCCACUGAACUGACCCCAUUGAGGUGACCCCAUAAAGAUGUCCCUAUUGAGGUGACCCCAUUGUAUUGACCCCAUUAAGGUGACCCAAUUGGGGUGACCCCAUUGCAGCGACCCUAUUGAGGUGACCCCACUGAGGUGACCCUAUUGGAGUGACCCCAUUGAGGUGACCCCAUUGGGGCGUCCCCAUAACGACGUUCCCAUCGCAGUGACCCCAUUGUGGUCACCCCAUUGAAGUGACCCCAUAACGAUGUCCCCAUUGCGGUGACCCCAUUGAGGUGACCCCAUUGGGGUGUCCCCAUAAAGAUGGCCCCAUAAAGACGUCCCCAUUGCAGUGACCCCAUUGCAGUGACCCCAUUGAAGUGACCCCAUUGAGGCGAUCCCAUUGGGACGACCCCAUAACGAUGUCCCCAUAGUGGUGACCCCAUUGAGGUGACCCCAUUGAGGUGACCCCAUUGAAGUGACCCCAUAACGAUGUCCCCAUUGUGGUGACCCCAUUGAGGUGACCCCAUAAAGAUGUCCCCAUAAAGACGUCCCCAUUGCGGCGACCCCAUAACGAUGUCCCCAUUGAGGUGACCCCAUAACGAUGUCCCCAUUUAAGUGACCCAAUAACGAUGUCCCCACUGAGGUGACCCCAUUGGAGUGACCCCAUUGAGGUGACCCCAUAAAGAUGUCCCCACUGCGGCGACCCCAUUGAGGUGACCCCACUGUGGUGACCCCAUUGAGGUGACCCCAUAACAACGUCCCCAUUGUGGCGACCCCAUUGAGGUGACCCCAUAAAGAUGUCCCCAUUGAGGUGACCCCAUUGCAGUGACCCCAUUGAGGUGACCCCAUUGAAGUGAUCCCACUGAGGUGACCCCACUGAGGUGACCCCAUAAAGUUGUCCCCAUUGAGGUGACCCCAUUGCAGUGACCCCACUGAAGUGACCCCAUUGAGGUGACCCCAUAAAGAUGUCCCCAUAGUGGUGACCCCAUUGAGGUGACCCCACUGAACUGACCCCAUUGGGGCGUCCCCAUAAAGAUGUCCCCAUUGCAGUGACCCUAUAGGGAUGACCCCAUUGCAGUGACCCCAUUGUGGUGACCCCAUUGGAGUGACCCCAUUGGGGCGUCCCCCUAAAGAUGUCCCUAUUGGGGUGACCCCAUUGAGGUGACCCCAUUGAGGUGACCCCAUUGAAGUGACCCCAUAACGAUGUCCCCAUUGCGGUGACCCCAUUGAGGUGACCCCACAGAGGUGACCCCAUUGAGGCAACCCCAUUGUGGUGACCCCAUAAAGAUGUCCCUAUUGUGGUGACCCCAUAAAGACGUCCCCAUUGCGGUGACCCCAUUGAGGUGACCCCAUUGAGGUGACCCCAUUGGGGUGACCCCAUAACGAUGUCCCCAUUGCAGUGACCCCAUAAAGUUGUCCCCAUUGCGGUGACCCCACUGAGGUGAUCCCAUAACGACGUCCCCAUUGCGGUGACCCCAUUGAGGUGACCCCACUGAGGUGACCCCAUAAAGUUGUCCCCAUUGCGGUGACCCCAUUGAGGUGACCCCAUUGAGGUGACCCCAUAAGUCUGCCCCAAAAAGGGGGCAUCCACCCUAUAACAGUGUCCAUCCACCCCAUAGCAGUGUCCCCACCCCAUAGCAACAUCCCCACCCCAUAGCCGUGUCCA